GUUGUUGCAGUUAAAAAGCUCGUAGUUGAACUUCUGUGCGGCGUUGCGGCGACUCUGUUGUCACUGCGUCGUGCAUCCGCCUGUGAUCUAUACUCCUCCUUCACUGGUGGAUUUAGGGAGCAGGCAUUUUACUUUGAAAAAAUUAGAGUGUUCAAAGCAGGCGUUCGCCUGAAUAGAUUAGCAUGGAAUAAUGGAACAGGACUCUUGUUCAUUUUGUUGGUUAUUGGACGAGAGUAAUGAUUAAUAGGGACAGUUGGGGGCAUUUGUACUUAAUAGUCAGAGGUGAAAUUCUUGGAUUUUUGGAAGACGAACUACUGCGAAAGCAUUUACCAAGGAUGUUUUCAUUAAUCAAGAACGAAAGUCAG
rnacentral:rRNA from 1 species